GACGAACGCUGGCGGCGUGCCUAACACAUGCAAGUCGAGCGAAUGAAGUUCCUUCGGGAACGGAUUUAGCGGCGGACGGGUGAGUAACACGUGGGCAACCUGCCUCAUAGAGGGGAAUAGCCUUCCGAAAGGGAGAUUAAUACCGCAUAAGAUUGUAGUACCGCAUGGUACAGCAAUUAAAGGAGCAAUCCGCUAUGAGAUGGGCCCGCGGCGCAUUUGCUAGUUGGUGAAGUAACGGAUCACCAAGGCGACGAUGCGUAGCCGACCUGAGAGGGUGAUCGGACACAUUGGGACUGAGACACGGCCCAGACGACUACGGGAGGCAGCAGUGCGGAAUAUUGCACAAUGGGGGAAGCCCUGAUGCAGCAACGCCGCGUGAGUGAUGACGGCCUUCGGGUUGUAAAGCUCUGUCUUCAGGGACGAUAAUGACGGUACAUGAGGAGGAAGCCACGGCUAACUACGUGCCAGCCGCCGCAGUAA
rnacentral:rRNA from 1 species